rnacentral:rRNA from 1 species
GACGAACGCUGGCGGCGUGCCUAAUACAUGCAAGUAGGACGCAGUUGCGAACGGGUGAGUAACGCGUAGGUAACUACCUAUUAGAGGGGGCUAACUACUGGAAACGAUAGCUAAUACCGCAUACUAGUAGAUGGACCUGCGUUGUAUUAGCUAGUAGGUAGGGUAAUGGCCUACCUAGGCAACGAUACAUAGCCGAGUUGGAGAGGUGGACAGCCACAAUGGGACUGGGACACGGCCCAGGCUUCUACGGGAGGCAGCAGUAGGGAAACUUCGGCAAUGGGGGGAACGCUGACCGAGCAAAGCCGGGGGAGUGAAGAAGGUUUUCGGAUCGUAAAGCUCUGUUGUGAAGGAAGCGGUACUUAACCAGAAAGGGACGGCUAACUACGUGCCAGCAGCCGCGGUAAUAC